rnacentral:tRNA from 1 species
UGGAAAGUAGCUCAGUUUGGUAGGGCGCACGCUUUGGGAGCGUGAGGGCAUGGGUUCAAAUCCCAUCUUUCCAGCCA